CUGAAACACAGCGGUCAACUGUACCUACUUUUUGCUUGGAAAGAAGUGACAUUGUUACAAACAGCAGAAGAUAAUCCUUCAGGAAUAGCAGCUUCGAUUUACAAAAAUAUGUGCUGAGUUAUAAUUGAAAAGUACAGCCCGAAUGGCUAUGAAAGCAGAUGGAAUAAUAAGAAAAUUCUUGGAGUAUAUCUGCUAGUCCUCGAAACUCCAUGGGUCUUUUGUUCUUGAAGAUUAAUGUCAGAAAGAGAAGGAAGAAUCAGAAGGUGCAAACUAAUUCAUGAAGACAAGAAAGAAAGACUCAAGAGAGAGGCGCUGAAAGUAUAAUAUUUAAUAUUAUUUUUGGACACUAAAAUAAUAACAAAUUCCAUCAAAAUUAAAAUGUUUUUCCAAACUCUUGAAAAAAAUCAACUGAAAGCUUUAGUUAUCAAUAUGCAAUAACACAGUCUGCAUAAAAUGUCUUUGCUACUAAUUGGAAUGAAUUCAUGCCUUCCCUAUUGUAAGUCAAAACUGCACAAGCUUUCUCUCUCUGAUAAUGUUGCAAAGGUAGCCUCAAUUCCAUCUAUUAAUGUCAUCUCUAGUGUGCCUGUGAAAUUUGCCAGAACUGAUUAGAGCAGAUAUUAAAUGAUAAUUGGACAUUUAGUGCUCGUCAAACAGAAAGUGACAGAUGGGCAACUAAUUAAAUUAUAGUUCUGACAUUAUUCACAAUGGUUUAUGAAUCUUCACUAGUGACCUUCAUGCAUCUCUUUUCUCUUUUUGCAGAUAAGAGAGUGAUAAGAAAAAAAAAAAAGAAGACACUAUUAAAAAUGUUAACAUAUAUGUGCAAAGUGAAAAACUUUUUUUUCCAUAAUUGAUCCCUACAUAGAGUUAGGUAAUUAAUUAUAAAAUAGAGCAACAAAUAAUGAGAUUCAUAUAAAUCACGUUGGGUGGCUAAAAUUGGGAGAAGAAAUUAAUCAUACUCUGAAAGAUGUAUGCAUGUUUUAACUGGGUUUUCAUUGUAGAAAAAAGAAAUGUGCCUAUACAUAAUCUGAUCCUGGAAAAGGAAAUCCAGUGCCUCUUGUAGUAUGCUGUUUUACUUAUUAACUCAAGACUGCACUACUAUCUUUACCAGCUAAAUGAAAGACUUCACUUAAUGCAAGAGGGUAAAGCCCUGAAACAGUCACAGUUACUGAGCCAGAACUACACUUUCACUUUCAAUUAAAAAGAAAAACACACCAUUAAUUAAUUGUAUCUUUAGUUUCAAGAGUCUUACUUCAAUUUAAAAGUUUUAAAAGUAACAGCUUUAAUAUCCCUGAUUAUUUCAUAGAUAGACUGGUAUCCCAGCCUAUAUUUUUGUGCAAUCUGUCUUCCAAUAAUUGGACAAAUAGUAUUUGUAUGAAGAAUAGUCAGGUAAAUAAAUAAAUAAAUAAAUGUUAGCUCUAGUGUUUCCAUAUAGUUCUCUUUGUUUAUAACAUCGUACAGGCAUUACUGUAUUAAUUAUAUGGUUAUAUAAAUAUAUAUCAUAUUGCAUGCACGAAUAUCAUUACACAUAUGCAUAUACUGUAAGAAUUCAGAGACCUGAUGUUAUGAUAAAAAAUGAGUAACAAUUAUUUAAGUAAGUAGCCUUGUUAUUUUCAAGAGGGACUGGUUACCACGGCAAAAAUCCCAUCUAUGUGUUGCUAGAUAUUAUCUUCCUAAUAUGAAGACAUACAGGCAUACAUCUAAAGUUUUACAAAUAACUAUAUAUACAUAUUUUUCCACUUUUCUUAUUUAAGAGC